AUUGAACGCUGGCGGCAGGCUUAACACAUGCAAGUCGAGCGAGCGGCGGACGGGUGAGUAAUGUCUGGGAAACUGCCUGAUGGAGGGGGAUAACUACUGGAAACGGUAGCUAAUACCGCACACCAUCAGAUGUGCCCAGAUGGGAUUAGCUAGUAGGUGGGGUAAUGGCUCACCUAGGACACGAUCCCUAGCUGGUCUGAGAGGAUGACAAGAAAAACUGGAACUGAGACACGGUCCAGACUCCUACGGAAGGCAGCAGUGGGAAAGAUUGCACAAUGGGCGCAAGCCUGAUGCAGCCAUGCCGCGUGUGUGAAGAGGGCCUUCGGGUUGUAAAGCACUUUCAGCGAGGAGGCGUUACUCGCAGAAGAAGCACCGGCUAACUCCGUGCCAGCAGCCGCGGUAAUUC
rnacentral:rRNA from 1 species